GGAUCCGAGGUUUUACCAAACACAACAAUCACCUUGUACGGAAGGUCAACUUCAUGUGGGCCUACUAUUCUGGACUUGAAAAAACAUUAUAAAAUUUAUGCAAGUACAAAUGGUCCUCGAUUGGAAAUCAUUAGCCAUGAGGAAAUUCCCCCCGCCUUCGAAGGCCGAAUGAAGAUAUACGACUGUACCUGUCAGAUUCAAAUUCAUGUGUCCAGGAGGCGAAACUCUGUAAGCUAUGAAGAUGCCCCAGAUAAAUGUAUUGUGACAACAAAUGGUCGAGAUUGUCAAUUUAGGAAUGGCUAUUGUAAAAAAAUAAAUAACAUUUGCACGUGGAAACUUUUUCCACGUGCUCAAC